CUGUCUCUCUCUCUCUCUCUGUCUAUCUAUCUAUCUAUCUAUCUCUCACGAUCUCCAGGCUGCCUCCCCAACACUCAUUCUGCAGUACAGCCUACCCUUCCCCCAAUACUGUUGCAAUGUCCAGGGCCUUCUGGACGUCCUUCCUAAAUACCCAGUGGGAACCUUGAACAUAGCUGUCCCCCAUGUCAUUCUAGUUCCCCCACUCAUUCAUUCAUUCAUUCUUCAUUCGUUUAUUCAUUUUUUUUCUUUUCUUUUUUUCAGAGCUGGGGACUGAACCCAGGGCCUUGCGCUUGCUAGGCAAGCGCUCUACCACUGAGCCAAAUCCCCAACCCUCCGUUCAUUCAUUUAUUAAAGCAGGGUCUCAGUCUAUAGUACAGGGUAGCCUGAAACUCAGUAUAGACCAGGAUGGCCUUGAACCCACAGCAUUCCUCUUGCCUUGACUCUCAAGAGCUGGGAUUACAGGCAUGAGUCACUACAUAUGGCUCUUAUAUCAUUUUUUUCAAUUCUCAACUGAUAUAUAAUAAUUUCAAAUAUUCAUGGAUAUACAGAGCGAUGUUUCAAUAAAUAUCUAGAUACUCAUCGCCUCAGCCGGUCAUCAUUUCUUUGUGUUGCAAAGAUUGAACGCUGUCUCAGCCAUUUUGAAAUGUAAACCCUAGUAUUCUAUAGGACAUUAGAAUCCACUCCUCCUGCCCAUCCUUUGCCCUCCACACCCUAAUUCUGAACCAGUGAAUGGAGUCUCUAGCCACCAAGCCAGAAACCUGUGGACUUCUACCCAUUCUCAAUUCUUUCUCUUGUACCCCUCAGUGUAACCAAUCGGGUAUCAAGUCCCUCCUCUUACUUAGUUGAUAUUAUGAUUGACAUGCACCUCUCAAAGCUCAUGUGUUCAUAACUUGAUCCCUGGUGCAGUAGUGGGGAAUCUAACAACAGGUGCUGUGGUGGUUUGAAUAUGCUGGCCCAUGGGAAGUGGCACUAUUAGGAGGUGUGGCCUUGUUGGGGGUAGGUGUGGCCUUGUCAGAGGAUGCAUCACCAUGGGGUUGGGGCUUUCAGGGCCUAUGAUUAAGUUCUGCCCAGGACAUAAGAGCCAGUCUUCUGUCUUCAGAUGAAGAUGUAGAGCUCUUCUCCAGCACCAUGCCUGCCUGGAUGCUGCUAUGCUUCCUGCCAUAAUGAUAAUGGACUGAACCCCUGAACCAAUAAGCAAGGCCCAGUUAAAUAUUUCCCUUAUAAGAGUUGCCUUGGUCAUGGUGUCUCUUCACAGCGAUGGAAACCCAAAACCAGUGGUGAGGUCUGCCAUGUGUUGUCAUGGGUUAGUUAGCAUAAGGGUAGUCUUGCUUCCUCCCCCAUACUUCCUUGCCUUUCCAUCUUCCACCAUGGGAUGAUGCAGGAGGAUGACCUUCACCAGGUGUUAGAGC
ensembl:lncRNA